GCCCUCGUAGUCAAUUGGUAACGAUAUCUGGUUGUCACCCAGAUGGUCGGGGUUCGAUUCCCCGCGAGGGCGCCA
rnacentral:tRNA from 1 species